rnacentral:rRNA from 1 species
UACGUAGGCAGCGAGCGUUGUUCGGAAUUACUGGGCGUAAAGAGUGUGUAGGCGGUGUUCCCAGUCUGUUGUGAAAUCUCCCGGCUUAACUGGGAGGGUGCAGCGGAAACUAGAAUGCUAGAGGGUGGGAGAGGUAAGCGGAAUUCCUGGUGUAGCGGUGAAAUGCGUAGAUAUCAGGAGGAACACCUGUGGCGUAGACAGCUUACUGGACCACUUCUGACGCUGAGACACGAAAGCGUGGGUAGCAAACAGG